AUUGAACGCUGGCGGCAGGCUUAACACGUGCAAGUCGAGCGGGGUGAUGGUGCUUGCACUAUCACUUAGCGGCGGACGGGUGAGUAAUGCUUAGGAAUCUGCCUAUUAGUGGGGGACAACAUCUCGAAAGGGAUGCUAAUACCGCAUACGUCCUACGGGAGAAAGCAGGGGAUCACUUGUGACCUUGCGCUAAUAGAUGAGCCUAAGUCGGAUUAGCUAGUUGGUGGGGUAAAGGCCUACCAAGGCGACGAUCUGUAGCGGGUCUGAGAGGAUGAUCCGCCACACUGGGACUGAGACACGGCCCAGACUCCUACGGGAGGCAGCAGUGGGGAAUAUUGGACAAUGGGGGGAACCCUGAUCCAGCCAUGCCGCGUGUGUGAAGAAGGCCUUAUGGUUGUAAAGCACUUUAAGCGAGGAGGAGGCUCUUUUGGUUAAUACCCAAGAUGAGUGGACGUUACUCGCAGAAUAAGCACCGGCCAACUCUGUGCCAGCAGCCGCCGUAA
rnacentral:rRNA from 1 species